AAUCUUUGUCCCCCCAUUUAAGCCUCAGCAUCAAGUAAAGCUUUCAAUAAUAGAAGGAAUAAUAUGGUCAUUGUAAAAUAUGUUGAAUCAACUUGAAAAUUUGUUCUCACAAAAAACAAGAUCCCAUCCUCUUUUUGUCUUGGCCAAAAUAACAAAAUACAAUAAUUUGUUAUCCAUUUAACAUUUAGAUCUGAUUAAUAAGUUUUGCCAGAAGAAUGAAUUUUGGGGAGAAUGACCACAGAGCAGAGAGAGAACAUCCCCACAAAACAAUCUCUUCAUCCCUCAAACUGUUUCUGGCUCAUUCAUGGCUGUUGGCGAGGUCCCAGGCCCAGCACAAAUUUCACUGGGCAGUUGCCUCGCAAACAACAAUCUGCCUGCUUCAUUAAUGAGACAUCAAAGAUGAGGCCCUUUCCCUAAAUUCUGAGGAAGCAGAUUCAGAAGCCCAACAGAAGCACUUAUUGUACCCUCAUGAAAAAGAACACAAUAUGAACAGCUCUUCAACGUCCUGUUGCUGCACGAGCCCCUCCUUUCCUCUUACUUGAGCUAGAAGAAUUGCCAUCAGCACUUGUCACUAGGUUCCCAAGUCCACAGCCAACAAGCUCCUUCAUUCCUGAGUUUUGAUUUGCCAGACACUGAAGAUUAUCAAACUCACAACCAUUAAGCCCUUGGCCAUUUAAGGCCAUACCUUCCCCACUCUUGCCAUCUGCCCCUGGAUGUAAACAAUAAGCCUGACCAUUACACUGCACAUUACAUGGAUUCAUUACAUAAGCACCAGGUAAAUUUGGAUUGGCCAAGUUCAAGUCAUUAGCUGAUUUCUGAUAUGGAAAAGAUCCAAUCUCCCCUUCAAUCCUUCCCCGUAUAUCCACAAGCAAACAUUUGAGCCUCGCAACCUCAGCCUCCAAUGCCGCUUGUCCCUGAAGCCUCUUCAGCAAAUGCUGAUUCAAAGCCCUCAAUUUCACAACUUCAUCCUCCAAAGAUGCGGCCCUUGCCUUCUUCUUCUCCCUAUACUUGCGGACUGCCUCCCUAUUGCCUAAUGGGCGUUUCUUUGACUUUUUCUCAGUGGACUCAGCAGUAUCAUCAGUCCCAGUCUUAUCAUCCGAAGGUGCAGACACAAUUUUGGUGUGUACAUGAAAGCAGGUAUGUGUAUGGGAAUAAUCAGGACCAGGAGGGUUGCAAGUGUGUGUGUGAGUACAGGCAUGAGUAUCCUUGAGUAGUUCAUCGAAGAAACUGUCCAUUGAGCAAUUGCUCGGAAUCUCACCCAUGUUGGUAGCCGAAAAUACUUCUUGGUUCAAGACAUCUAGCUCCCCAUCAUCCAUUUAAGCUCAAAUGAAGAAAGGCAGAACUAAAAUUGGGGAUUUUGAUGUGAUGAUUAUUUGGGUCAAAUUCAAGGUUUCUAAACUAUACUGAGAUUGGAAAGUGUAAGUUCAGUGCUUAUAAGCUGCAAAAAGGGGAUUUUGAGCAAGCGGAUCAAUAACUCAAUUAAAACCUCAAAUACAAAGUCACAGAACACCACAAUUUUCUUGCAAUUCAAUUACAACCCAUAUGUGAAUUCAAAGCACUAAACAAAAAACAACUGAUUAAACUCACCAAAACCAAAUACAGAAUUAAUUAUCAACUCAAACAAAGAAACUUACAGUGAAAAAGUAAAUUAAAAUCUGGGAAUUAAGAGAAUAGCUCGAUGAAAUUAAGGGUAUGUAGGAAGCGGAAAGAAAGAACAGAAUCGAGAAACAACCCACGAAAGAUAAAUCAUCAUAGAAUUAACAAUCCAAACCCU
rnacentral:misc_RNA from 1 species